rnacentral:SRP_RNA from 1 species
GCCAGGUGUGGUGGCUCACGCCUGUAAUCCCAGCACUUUGGGAGGCUGAGGUGGGUGGAUCACCUGAGGUCAGGAGUUCAAGACCAGCCUGGCCAACAUGGUGAAACCCCAUCUCUA